GUUUCUGCCUGCAGCUAGACCAGGAAGAAAGGAGACUGAGCAGAGGAAAUGAAAGAGUAAAGGAGAGGAGAGAGUGGGUAGGACACAAAGCUGAGGUGACUGAAGCAGCAGGAAGUAGGCAGGGCAUGAAGAAUUGGGAUUCAAAGCCCUUGAAUUUAGUUCCCAACUUCACUUAUGGGGCAAUGCUCCAAGUCACUCAGUCACCCUGAACUUCAGCUGGAGAAGGGGAACAGGAAUAAUGCCUAUCUUCCAGGAGUGUUCUGCACAAAACUGAAGGCACAGAUGAAAAAGCACUCUGCAAAUUAAAAGAGAAGGAUGGAUAGAGAAAAGCAUCAUUACAAAAGUGAAAUGUGUGAAUUUUAUUCUGGCUUUGAACAUUGAGUAGACGAAGAAGACAAUUCCAGACGGAGGAAACUCCACAAGAAAUAUCAUGGAAAUUUGAAAGAACACAGUGGGCUUGGGAAGAGAGAUCUCAGUGGUGGAAGCACCAUCAUCCCAAGGAGACUUAGGACAUUAUUUGAAGAGAGUUUUCCCCUGAGGAAAGUGCUUCAGAGGAGAAAAUACACCAGUUUGAAAGAAACAGCCACGGUUUGCAUGGUGUUCCAUGGUUUGUUUCUACCUUGCUGUGCAUGACCUCCACUGCUAAGGUCAUUUAUGGCCCAAGAUGAUUACUCCAGCUCCAGCCAUCACAUCUGUAUUCCAUCCUGCAGAAAGGAAGAAAGAAGGUGCUUCCAAGACCAAGAUAACCAGGCAAUCAUAGUAGAUGCAUCAAUGCACCCUUGCCCAAGGGCCUAGACAAGAGGAGGAAGGAAAGGAGGAGCACGUGCACAAAGCUAAGGAGGUGAUUAACAACAUGAUACAGUAUUGUUUAGCUUCGCAUGAAUUUUAUCACCUUGCCUAGAACCAGCCACCAUCUGCCAGGGCUCCUGACUUUUUCUGAAAUGAAUAGACACUAAAGCCUGCUGGGGAAUUUCAUGGAAAUCAAGAUGACUCAACCCAGAGUCCAUUUCAAGGCUAGGAUGCUAGAGGACGCCAACAAAGGAGUAGGGAAGUGAAACGGAUCAGCUCACAUCCAAGCCCUUGCAUGAUCAAUCCUGCAGUAGGAGUGCUGCUCAGUUGGGACUCAUGAGAGCCCGGAAGAGGAAAAAGCAGCUCUAAGCAUAGCAAAGAAGCUGUUAUGGAAAAGACCCAAAUGUUAAAAUGGUGGACAUAGUAAAGUGAUUGGUUCUGCUUAGGGGAAUCUAGAUCCCCACAUUUUGACCUCCACUGGAGUCUCAGAAGAACAAGUGCCAGGGGGGCUUGCCACAGAGGCCAAGGCAGUGAAUGUCAGGCACAUCACAGUCCCCAAGAUGGGGAGAAGACUGAGAUGCAGGGUAACAACUGCAAUCCAUUCAUGGGAGCCAUGUUUAUCUUAAAUCAUUGACAGUGAGAUAAGGAUCAUGUCAGCCUUCAUACCUUUGAUGAUGAUCCCAGGCUGCAACAGUGACACAUAGAACUGGAUUCAGUAACUAACUACAGAUUCCAUCAACCAGGACUAGUAAAGUGAAAGGCAGAAAUUGGGAGGAGGGGUUUCUUUCUUGCUUAUAAAACUUUAUUUGGUUGUGUUGAGUAUGUGCAUGUAUGUAUGAAAUCCCAUAAAGCAGUCUUCUUAGGAACAAGCCAACAUGCCACAAUGUAGGAGAUCUUUGGAGCACUGGCCUAAAUGGCAGAGAGCUCAAGGGACUCUGCUUUGUACAAGGCAUGAUUUGUACCACCACCACUAUCCCUGUUUCAGAGCACUGUUGAAUUGUUCCAAACCUGGAUUUCUAUGUCAGCUCCCUGUCUAUAGUACUUGACUGAUAAAUGCUAGUUUCUGAAAUCUGCUUUGGUUCUAUAAUUUAUUAGACAGCUUUUUCUUCCCAUUUUAUUACUUGUUUUUACUGUCAUUGGUAUAUUAUCUCUUACAGUGAAAACAUUCAUAGGCUGAUUGAAGAGAAGAUCUGAAAUUAUUAGGCAGCAAGCAUACAAAACCCUUGCUUUAUAAAGAUAAUAUCUUAAAGGCCUAAUGUCUAUGGUUCAAAGCAGCCUGGAGAUGUUGGCUAAAUCUUCCAUCAUAGAGUCCUCAUGGGAUCUGGAAGCUCUGAUUUAUCUUCCUUCAGGCCCUAUAAGUUAGCUUUCCACAUCUGUAGGUUCCACAAUCAACCUUGGAUCAAAAACAUUUGAAA
rnacentral:lncRNA from 10 species